GUUGUUUUAGCAGAGUGGAACCAAGGUUACAGUUGGCAGCAGUGGAUCCUCUCCUUCAGGUGGUGGCAGUGGAACAAGGAUUAUAUUUGGUGGCAGUGGAUCCCCUGCUUCAGCUGGUACCAGUGGCACCUCCAGUUCCAGUGGCGGCAAUGGAGUUACUAUUACAGUUGGCAGCAGUGGAUCCUCCACAUACAGUGGUGGUAGCGGUUGUCGUCAGGGCUAUAGAUAUGAAGGCAAUUCAUGUAAGCCGAGUGGAUCGUCAUCUCAGCAAAGUUAUGGAAGUAACCAGGUAAAGUAGUUGUACUUUA
rnacentral:lncRNA from 1 species